GGCGAACGGGUGAGUAAUACAUCGGAACGUGCCCGAUCGUGGGGGAUACCUAAGCGAAAGCUUUGCUAAUACCGCAUACGAUCUACGGAUGAAAGCGGGGGAUCUUAGGACCUCGCGCGGACGGAGCGGCCGAUGGCAGAUUAGGUAGUUGGUGGGAUAAAAGCUUACCAAGCCGACGAUCUGUAGCUGGUCUGAGAGGAUGAUCAGCCACACUGGGACUGAGACACGGCCCAGACUCCUACGGGAGGCAGCAGUGGGGAAUUUUGGACAAUGGGCGCAAGCCUGAUCCAGCCAUGCCGCGUGCAGGAUGAAGGCCUUCGGGUUGUAAACUGCUUUUGUACGGAACGAAAAGGUGCCUUCUAAUAAAGGGCGCUCAUGACGGUACCGUAAGAAUAAGCACCGGCUAACUACGUGCCAGCAGCCGCGGUAAUACGUAGGGUGCGAGCGUUAAUCGGAAUUACUGGGCGUAAAGCGUGCGCAGGCGGUUUUGUAAGACAGAGGUGAAAUCCCCGGGCUCAACCUGGGAACUGCCUUUGUGACUGCAAGGCUGGAGUGCGGCAGAGGGGGAUGGAAUUCCGCGUGUAGCAGAGAAAUGCGUAGAUAUGCGGAGGAACACCGAUGGCGAAGGCAAUCCCCUGGGCCUGCACUGACGCUCAUGCACGAAAGCGUGUGGAGCAAACAGGAUUACAUACCCUGGUAGUCCACGCCCUAAACGAUGUCAACUGGUUGUUGGGGAUUAAUUUUCUCCAUUAACGAAGCUAACGCGUGAAUUUGACCGCCUGGGGGAGUACGGGCGGCAAGGUUGAAACUCAAAGGAAUUGA
rnacentral:rRNA from 1 species